rnacentral:rRNA from 1 species
UACGGAGGGUGCGAGCGUUGUCCGGAAUCAUUGGGCGUAAAGGGCGCGUAGGUGGCCCGGUCAGUCUUUGGUGAAAGCGCGGGGCUCAACCCUGCGUCGGCCAGGGAUACUGCCGCGGCUCGAGCACUGUAGAGGCAGGCGGAAUUCCGGGUGUAGCGGUGGAAUGCGUAGAGAUCCGGAAGAACACCGGUGGCGAAGGCGGCUAACUGGUCCAGCACUGACGCUGAGGUGCGAAAGCGUGGGGAGCAAACAGG